rnacentral:rRNA from 1 species
AAUGUAUCGGAACGUGCCCAGUCGUGGGGGAUAACUGCUCGAAAGAGCAGCUAAUACCGCAUACGACCUGAGGGUGAAAGCGGGGGAUCGCAAGACCUCGCGCGAUUGGAGCGGCCGAUAUCAGAUUAGGUAGUUGGUGAGGUAAAGGCUCACCAAGCCGACGAUCUGUAGCUGGUCUGAGAGGACGACCAGCCACACUGGGACUGAGACACGGCCCAGACUCCUACGGGAGGCAGCAGUGGGGAAUUUUGGACAAUGGGCGCAAGCCUGAUCCAGCCAUGCCGCGUGCGGGAAGAAGGCCUUCGGGUUGUAAACCGCUUUUGUCAGGGAAGAAAAGGUUCUGGCUAAUACCUGGGACUCAUGACGGUACCUGAAGAAUAAGCACCGGCUAACUACGUGCCAGCAGCCGCGGUAAUACGUAGGGUGCAAGCGUUAAUCGGAAUUACUGGGCGUAAAGCGUGCGCAGGCGGUUAUGCAAGACAGAGGUGAAAUCCCCGGGCUCAACCUGGGAACUGCCUUUGUGACUGCAUGGCUAGAGUACGGUAGAGGGGGAUGGAAUUCCGCGUGUAGCAGUGAAAUGCGUAGAUAUGCGGAGG